rnacentral:lncRNA from 1 species
GCUAUUAUUUAGGCUUCUGGAACAAUCUGAAGAGGAUCUAGCUUUAUUCAUAGCUUGGUGCUACUGUUCAUGGAUAGCAAUGCCUGUUGCAUUUGAAUUUAACCUGAAGCCAUUGCAUUAUGAUGCUGAGAAAACAAUGAAAGAGAUUAGUAUUCUGGACAGCACUGGGUUUGCUAUGUUUUGGUAAAUGGGUAUUAGUUGGGUUGUUUGUUGCCAUUUUCUUCACCGAGGCAAGAGCUAAAUGCCAUCUUCAGUUCUGUAUCCAUUUGCAGCUUUUUAUAUCAUCUUCCUAGCAUACGUUAUCUGAGAGUGAGUUUUCAACUUGAUCUCAUCUCAGAACUCUUCAGGACCAUCUCUGGAUCCUUGAGCACACUGCCUUUUACUGCAAGACACAGUUCCUGUUUUAAGGAGUUUAUAGUUUCUGUGGGGAGAUAAGACAAGUGCAUGGAUAUUAGAUAGAAUGCAUUAAAUGUCAGGAACAAGGAAAAUGGCCUAAUGUGCAAUGGGAACUCAGAGGUGAGAAAAAUGUUUUUCUGCUCAUUUCUUUGUGUCUGAAACCCCAUUUGGAAUUGAAGUAUAUGUCUUGUAGUACAGGAGGGACAUGUCUUCAUACAGCAACCUUAUUUUGAUGGUAUUUAAUCCUUAUUCUUUGGCCAUUUGGGAUUCCAUGGAGUCUUUGGAGUGAAGCAGACAGUUAAUUUGUAUUUUCACAUAGUAACUGUUCUUAAGGUAUUUUAGAAAAAAAAAUAAGGCAGAU